UAUUACUUUCUUCAUCCCACCCCCCAUCGGUCUCCUCUUUCUCACUUCCAAAUUUUCCCCAAAUUGAAAAGAACAGCCCUAACUCCUUCUGCCUCUCUCAAUCCUUCGGCUGCUACGCCGCCAUGUAGCACCGUUGCCGUCUCGACACCCAAUUGCCGGCGCUCUGCCGUCGGCAUCGUGGUUUCCUCCUCGAUGUCUCGCCGUCUCCACCACAUCACCGUCCUUACCGCCUUCAUCGAGAUCUCUCCCUUCCUCUCGGCUGCAGCACUGGGCAGCCACCACUAUCGCCAGCUAUGGACGGGCGACGAGCCGCUUCACCAGCGUCUUCGCAGAGUCGCCGUCGAUGCUGACUCUGGGGUGAGACACGGCGCCGGACUUCGUCCUCCGGUGACUGAAGUCAGCAGCCGUCGUCUAACUGCACCGCUGCAGCCUGGGAUUCAUCCGGACGCCCCCUCUUCUCGAAGCUAAGUCUCGUAGUUAAGUUCUUAGUUUACAUAUUAGUAUAGAUUUCCAGUUUUGAGCAUUUCGGGGCUUUGUGAUGUUGGAGAUCUUGGCUAAAAUCGAAAGAGCAUGUAUAGGUUUCUUUGAUUUGGUGUUUAACAUUGUACUUGAUUAAGGAAUUUAGGAUUUUAAGUUGUAUGGCUACUGAGUUUGGGUGAAAGGGCAGCAGCCUGUUGUUUCUCUUGGUUCAUUAUGUGUUAAAGCUCUAAGUUUUCCUAUCCUAAGCAUGGUAUCCGAACAAGGCAGGGGUGUGCUAGUGUUUUAAUUGUUCUUCCAUUAUUCUAUAAUGUUGUUAAGAUUUGAAAUGGUGGUGCCUAGUACUUAGUUAAUAAAUGGAAUUGUUUGUUGUGGCAGGUGCAUAGGCAUAAUGCAGGUGCUGCUAUGAGAAAUGGAGGUUGUAGGAUUUGACUUGCUCUCUUUGGCAAGGUCUUGAAAGAAAAAUGCCGAUGGGUUGGCUGCAUCUGCUCAACGGGCUGCCCGAGACAUUGGGCCGAAAAGGCUCUUGGGCUCAUGAACAAAAGGCCCGUCAUAUGUAUUUUGUAUUUCGUGGAUCAUAUGUAUAGUGACUUGAACAACAUACUUAGUUCUAGUUGUUCAUGUUCAAUUGUAUAUGUUUUUGAAGUGUUAAAUCUUAGCUCCGAUAUGUAUAUGGAUUCUAUAUCAAGACAGGGACCUCAUAUCUUUUAUGUGUUAUUAAAGUCAAUAACUUCGUAUUCA